CUGGGGGCAGGCCUAACACAUGCAAGUCGAGCGCACCUUCGGGUGAGCGGCGGACGGGUUAGUAACGCGUGGGAACGUGCCCUUCUCUAAGGAAUAGCCUCGGGAAACUGAGAGUAAUACCUUAUACGCCCUUCGGGGGAAAGAUUUAUCGGAGAAGGAUCGGCCCGCGUUAGAUUAGAUAGUUGGUGGGGUAACGGCCUACCUAGUCUACGAUCUAUAGCUGGUUUGAGAGGAUGAUCAGCAACCCUGGGACUGAGACACGGCCCAGACUCCUACGGGAGGCAGCAGUGGGGAAUCUUGGACAAUGGGCGCAAGCCUGAUCCA
rnacentral:rRNA from 1 species